rnacentral:misc_RNA from 1 species
GCGUGAUUGAAGGAAACAAGUAUUACAUCACAUUUAAAUACACUGUCAAUAAUUAUUCAAUACACAGAAUAGAAGCAGAAAAAAAACUUGAGGAGUGAGAAGCACUUAAAAUUUUACAAAUUUUCUAACAUAAUUUCAUCUGAUGAAGUUGUUUGGUGAAGCCAAAUCAUAUUCAUACUACUGGCACUGUCCUACUCGAAGAGGUUUCUGGUGCUUCAUCCUCGUUUUCUCCUGUAAGCUCUUCCAGGGACUUUCCUUUCGAUUCUGGCACCAAUAAUGUGAACAAGAUUCCAAAGAAGUUGAUCACACCAAGCACGAUAAGCGAAUUUUUCACUCCAAUGCCAGUUGGGUAGCCAGCAUCAGUCUUUGCAGGGUCUGUGGGCUGUGCAGCAUAGAGGAACCCAAAUGCACCGACAAUAGCCCCAGCCUUUCCACAAGCUGCAGAUAUUCCAUGGCAAGUUGACCUUAGCCUUGCAGGGAAAAUCUCUGCUGGAAAAACGAAUGUGGUGGCAUUUGGUCCAAAAUUGGCGAAGAAAAAUGUCAACGAGUACAUGAUCAGGAACCCAAUCCUGUUCUCCUUCAAAGUCCAGUGAUGAUAAGGUAUUGCCAGAGCAAACAUAAAUACAGUCAUGAAGAAAAAACCCAUCACUUGGAUGAAAAACCUCCCUAUACGAUCAAUGAGAGCCACUGUGAACCAAUAUCCAGGAACUGUGCCACAUAGGGCAAUAAGUGUUUGUGCUCUGGCAACCACAUAUACUUCAUGAAUUGCAUUCAUGGUCUUUGCAGCUGGAAUCCAACCGAUUGCGCUAAAGAUAUCCUUCUGG